rnacentral:rRNA from 1 species
UCCGUAGGUGAACCUGCGGAAGGAUCAUUAACGUGGGGGUAAAACCCCGCCGAGAUAGAACCCUUGCCUUUUGUAUACCGUCCGUUUCCUUGGCAGGCUCGCCUGUCGAUGGACCUUUAUAAACCUUUGUAAUAACCUGUAAUAGUCUGAUUUAAAAUUUAAAAAUUAAAACUUUCAACAACGGAUCUCUUGGUUCUGGCAUCGAUGAAGAACGCAGCGAAAUGCGAUAAGUAGUGUGAAUUGCAGAAUUCAGUGAAUCAUCGAAUCUUUGAACGCACAUUGCGCCCUUUGGUAUUCCUUAGGGCAUGCCUGUUCGAGCGUCAUUUUAACCUUCAAGCUCUGCUUGGUGUUGGGUGUCUGUCCUGCCCCUGGGCAUGGACUCGCCUUAAAAUUAUUGGCGGCCGGUACAUUGGCUUCGAGCGCAGCAGAAACGCGAACUCGGGGACGGUGUGUUGGCUCCCAUAAGCAUUUUUUAUAAUCUUGACCUCGGAUCAGGUAGGGAUACCCGCUGAACUUAAGCAUAUCAAUAAGCGGAGGA